rnacentral:tRNA from 2 species
UCCUCUGUAGCUCAGCGGUAGAGCCGACGACUGUUAAUCGUCUGGUCGCAGGUUCGAAUCCUGCCGGGGGAG